rnacentral:tRNA from 1 species
GCUUUCGUGGUGUAGUGGUAAGCACGCUCGACGCGUAACCGAGAGGUCCGUGGUUCCAUUCCCGGUUAAGGCG